GAAUCCCGUCUUUGACACGGACUGCCUGUACAUUAUGGUGUGCUCUCGAAGAGUCGAGUUGUUUGGGAAUGCAGCUCAAAAUGGGUGGUAAAUGCCAUCUAAAGCUAAAUAUUGGCGAGAGACCGAUAGCGAACAAGUACCGUGAGGGAAAGAUGAAAAGAACUUUGGAAAGAGAGUUAAACAGUACGUGAAAUUGCUGAAAGGGAAACGCUUGAAGUCAGUCGCGUUGGCUAGAAAUCAACCUUGCUUUUGCUUUGUGUACUUUCUGGUUGACGGGUCAGCAUCAAUUUUGACCACUGGAUAAAGUCUUUGGGAAUGUGGCAUCUUCGGAUGUGUUAUAGCCCAUUGUCGCAUACGGUGGUUGGGAUUGAGGAACUCAGCACGCCGCAAGGCCGGGUUUCGACCACGUUCGUGCUUAGGAUGCUGGCAUAAUGGCUUUAAUCGACCCGUCUUGAAACACGGACCAAGGAGUCUAACAUGCCUGCGAGUGUUUGGGUGGAAAAACCCAUGCGCGCAAUGAAAGUGAAAGUUGAGAUCCUCUUCAAAGGGGGAGCAUUGACGCCCGGACCAGACCUUUUGUGACGGAUCCGCGGUAGAGCAUGCAUGUUGGGACCCGAAAGAUGGUGAACUAUGCCUGAAUAGGGUGAAGCCAGAGGAAACUCUGGUGGAGGCUCGUAGCGAUUCUGACGUGCAAAUCGAUCGUCAAAUUUGGGUAUAGGGGCGAAAGACUAAUCGAACCAUCUAGUUGCUGGUUCCUGCC
rnacentral:rRNA from 1 species